rnacentral:tRNA from 2 species
GUGGCUAUAGCUCAGUUGGUUAGAGCAUCGGUUUGUGGUGCCGAGGGUCGUGGGUUCGAAUCCCAUUAGCCACCCA